rnacentral:rRNA from 1 species
GAUGAACGCUGGCGGCGUGCCUAAUACAUGCAAGUCGAGCGAACGGACGAGACGCUUGCUUCUCUGAUGUUAGCGGCGGACGGGUGAGUAACACGUGGAUCACCUACCUAUAAGACUGGGAUAACUUCGGGAAACCGUAGCUAAUACCGGAUAAUAUUUUGAACCGCAUGGUUCAAAAGUGAAAGACGGUCUUGCUGUCACUUAUAGAUGGAUCCGCGCUGCAUUAGAUAGUUGGUAGGGUAACGGCUUACCAAGGCAACGAUGCAUAGCCGACCUGAGAGGGGGAUAGGCCACACGGGAGCGGAGACACGGACCAGACGCCUACGAGAGGGAGCAGUAGGGAAUCUUCCGCAAUGGGGGGAAACAUGGCGGAGCGGGGCCGCGUGAGUGAUGGAGGUCUUCGGAUCGGAAAACUCUGUUAUGAGGGAAAAACAGAUGUGGAAGUUACUGUGCACAGCGUGACGGUAACUAGUAAGAAAGCCACGGCUAACUACGUG